AUGACAAUUGCGGGAGAGUGCAAAAGACAAAGGCCACCGAAGGAGCAAGUUCCAAAAAGACCCUUGGAACCAAUCUCUCAGGUAGACGGAACCGCAAUCGGACG
rnacentral:ncRNA from 2 species